GAUGAACGCUGGCGGCGUGCCUAAUACAUGCAAGUCGAGCGAACGGACGAGAAGCUUGCUUCUCUGAUGUUAGCGGCGGACGGGUGAGUAACACGUGGAUAACCUACCUAUAAGACUGGGAUAACUUCGGGAAACCGGAGCUAAUACCGGAUAAUAUUUUGAACCGCAUGGUUCAAAAGUGAAAGACGGUCUUGCUGUCACUUAUAGAUGGAUCCGCGCUGCAUUAGCUAGUUGGUAAGGUAACGGCUUACCAAGGCAACGAUGCAUAGCCGACCUGAGAGGGUGAUCGGCCACACUGGAACUGAGACACGGUCCAGACUCCUACGGGAGGCAGCAGUAGGGAAUCUUCCGCAAUGGGCGAAAGCCUGACGGAGCAACGCCGCGUGAGUGAUGAAGGUCUUCGGAUCGUAAAACUCUGUUAUUAGGGAAGAACAUAUGUGUAAGUAACUGUGCACAUCUUGACGGUACCUAAUCAGAAAGCCACGGCUAACUACGUGCCAGCAGCCGCGGUAAUACGUAGGUGGCAAGCGUUAUCCGGAAUUAUUGGGCGUAAAGCGCGCGUAGGCGGUUUUUUAAGUCUGAUGUGAAAGCCCACGGCUCAACCGUGGAGGGUCAUUGGAAACUGGAAAACUUGAGUGCAGAAGAGGAAAGUGGAAUUCCAUGUGUAGCGGUGAAAUGCGCAGAGAUAUGGAGGAACACCAGUGGCGAAGGCGACUUUCUGGUCUGUAACUGACGCUGAUGUGCGAAUGCGUGGGGAUCAAACAGGAUUAGAUACCCUGGUAGUCCACGCCGUAAACGAUGAGUGCUAAGUGUUAGGGGGUUUCCGCCCCUUAGUGCUGCAGCUAACGCAUUAAGCACUCCGCCUGGGGAGUACGACCGCAAGGUUGAAACUCAAAGGAAUUGACGGGGACCCGCACAAGCGGUGGAGCAUGUGGUUUAAUUCGAAGCAACGCGAAGAACCUUACCAAAUCUUGACAUCCUUUGACAACUCUAGAGAUAGAGCCUUCCCCUUCGGGGGACAAGGUGACAGGUGGUGCAUGGUUGUCGUCAGCUCGUGUCGUGAGAUGUUGGGUUAAGUCCCGCAACGAGCGCAACCCUUAAGCUUAGUUGCCAUCAUUAAGUUGGGCACUCUAAGUUGACUGCCGGUGACAAACCGGAGGAAGGUGGGGAUGACGUCAAAUCAUCAUGCCCCUUAUGAUUUGGGCUACACACGUGCUACAAUGGACAAUACAAAGGGCAGCGAAACCGCGAGGUCAAGCAAAUCCCAUAAAGUUGUUCUCAGUUCGGAUUGUAGUCUGCAACUCGACUACAUGAAGCUGGAAUCGCUAGUAAUCGUAGAUCAGCAUGCUACGGUGAAUACGUUCCCGGGUCU
rnacentral:rRNA from 1 species